AUUGAACGCUGGCGGCAUGCCUUACACAUGCAAGUCGAACGGCAGCACGGGUGCUUGCCCCUGGUGGCGAGUGGCGAACGGGUGAGUAAUACAUCGGAACAUGUCCUGUAGUGGGGGAUAGCCCGGCGAAAGCCGGAUUAAUACCGCAUACGAUCUACGGAUGAAAGCGGGGGACCUUCGGGCCUCGCGCUAUAGGGUUGGCCGAUGGCUGAUUAGCUAGUUGGUGGGGUAAAGGCCUACCAAGGCGACGAUCAGUAGCUGGUCUGAGAGGACGACCAGCCACACUGGGACUGAGACACGGCCCAGACUCCUACGGGAGGCAGCAGUGGGGAAUUUUGGACAAUGGGCGAAAGCCUGAUCCAGCAAUGCCGCGUGUGUGAAGAAGGCCUUCGGGUUGUAAAGCACUUUUGUCCGGAAAGAAAUCCUUGGCCCUAAUACGGUCGGGGGAUGACGGUUCCGGAAGAAUAAGCACCGGCUAACUACGUG
rnacentral:rRNA from 1 species